rnacentral:rRNA from 1 species
UACGUAGGGGGCAAGCGUUGUCCGGAAUCAUUGGGCGUAAAGCGCGUGUAGGCGGCCCGGUAAGUCCGCUGUGAAAGUCGGGGGGCUCAACCCUCGAAUGCCGGUGGAUACUGUCGGGCUAGAGUGCGGGAGAGGCGAGUGGAAUUCCUGGUGUAGCGGUGAAAUGCGCAGAUAUCAGGAGGAACACCAAUUGCGAAGGCAGCUCGCUGGAACGUAACUGACGCUGGAGGAGCGAAAGCGUGGGGAGCGAACAGG